GGGUUGUGAGGUUAAGCGACUAAGCGUACACGGUGGAUGCCCUGGCAGUCAGAGGCGAUGAAGGACGUGCUAAUCUGCGAUAAGCGUCGGUAAGGUGAUAUGAACCGUUAUAACCGGCGAUUUCCGAAUGGGGAAACCCAGUGUGUUUCGACACACUAUCAUUAACUGAAUCCAUAGGUUAAUGAGGCGAACCGGGGGAACUGAAACAUCUAAGUACUCCGAGGAAAAGAAAUCAACCGAGAUUCCCCCAGUAGCGGCGAGCGAACGGGGAGCAGCCCAGAGCCUGAAUCAGUGUGUGUGUUAGUGGAAGCGUCUGGAAAGGCGCGCGAUACAGGGUGACAGCCCCGUACACAAAAAUGCACAUACUGUGAGCUCGAUGAGUAGGGCGGGACACGUGGUAUCCUGUCUGAAUAUGGGGGGACCAUCCUCCAAGGCUAAAUACUCCUGACUGACCGAUAGUGAACCAGUACCGUGAGGGAAAGGCGAAAAGAACCCCGGCGAGGGGAGUGAAAAAGAACCUGAAACCGUGUACGUACAAGCAGUGGGAGCCUCUUUUAUGGGGUGACUGCGUACCUUUUGUAUAAUGGGUCAGCGACUUAUAUUCUGUAGCAAGGUUAACCGAAUAGGGGAGCCGAAGGGAAACCGAGUCUUAACCGGGCGUUAAGUUGCAGGGUAUAGACCCGAAACCCGGUGAUCUAGCCAUGGGCAGGUUGAAGGUUGGGUAACACUAACUGGAGGACCGAACCGACUAAUGUUGAAAAAUUAGCGGAUGACUUGUGGCUGGGGGUGAAAGGCCAAUCAAACCGGGAGAUAGCUGGUUCUCCCCGAAAGCUAUUUAGGUAGCGCCUCGUGAAUUCAUCUCCGGGGGUAGAGCACUGUUUCGGCAAGGGGGUCAUCCCGACUUACCAACCCGAUGCAAACUGCGAAUACCGGAGAAUGUUAUCACGGGAGACACACGGCGGGUGCUAACGUCCGUCGUGAAGAGGGAAACAACCCAGACCGCCAGCUAAGGUCCCAAAGUCAUGGUUAAGUGGGAAACGAUGUGGGAAGGCCCAGACAGCCAGGAUGUUGGCUUAGAAGCAGCCAUCAUUUAAAGAAAGCGUAAUAGCUCACUGGUCGAGUCGGCCUGCGCGGAAGAUGUAACGGGGCUAAACCAUGCACCGAAGCUGCGGCAGCGACACUGUGUGUUGUUGGGUAGGGGAGCGUUCUGUAAGCCUGUGAAGGUGUACUGUGAGGUAUGCUGGAGGUAUCAGAAGUGCGAAUGCUGACAUAAGUAACGAUAAAGCGGGUGAAAAGCCCGCUCGCCGGAAGACCAAGGGUUCCUGUCCAACGUUAAUCGGGGCAGGGUGAGUCGACCCCUAAGGCGAGGCCGAAAGGCGUAGUCGAUGGGAAACAGGUUAAUAUUCCUGUACUUGGUGUUACUGCGAAGGGGGGACGGAGAAGGCUAUGUUGGCCGGGCGACGGUUGUCCCGGUUUAAGCGUGUAGGCUGGUUUUCCAGGCAAAUCCGGAAAAUCAAGGCUGAGGCGUGAUGACGAGGCACUACGGUGCUGAAGCAACAAAUGCCCUGCUUCCAGGAAAAGCCUCUAAGCAUCAGGUAACAUCAAAUCGUACCCCAAACCGACACAGGUGGUCAGGUAGAGAAUACCAAGGCGCUUGAGAGAACUCGGGUGAAGGAACUAGGCAAAAUGGUGCCGUAACUUCGGGAGAAGGCACGCUGAUAUGUAGGUGAAGUCCCUCGCGGAUGGAGCUGAAAUCAGUCGAAGAUACCAGCUGGCUGCAACUGUUUAUUAAAAACACAGCACUGUGCAAACACGAAAGUGGACGUAUACGGUGUGACGCCUGCCCGGUGCCGGAAGGUUAAUUGAUGGGGUCAGCGCAAGCGAAGCUCUUGAUCGAAGCCCCGGUAAACGGCGGCCGUAACUAUAACGGUCCUAAGGUAGCGAAAUUCCUUGUCGGGUAAGUUCCGACCUGCACGAAUGGCGUAAUGAUGGCCAGGCUGUCUCCACCCGAGACUCAGUGAAAUUGAACUCGCUGUGAAGAUGCAGUGUACCCGCGGCAAGACGGAAAGACCCCGUGAACCUUUACUAUAGCUUGACACUGAACAUUGAGCCUUGAUGUGUAGGAUAGGUGGGAGGCUUUGAAGUGUGGACGCCAGUCUGCAUGGAGCCGACCUUGAAAUACCACCCUUUAAUGUUUGAUGUUCUAACGUGGACCCGUGAUCCGGGUUGCGGACAGUGUCUGGUGGGUAGUUUGACUGGGGCGGUCUCCUCCUAAAGAGUAACGGAGGAGCACGAAGGUUGGCUAAUCCUGGUCGGACAUCAGGAGGUUAGUGCAAUGGCAUAAGCCAGCUUGACUGCGAGCGUGACGGCGCGAGCAGGUGCGAAAGCAGGUCAUAGUGAUCCGGUGGUUCUGAAUGGAAGGGCCAUCGCUCAACGGAUAAAAGGUACUCCGGGGAUAACAGGCUGAUACCGCCCAAGAGUUCAUAUCGACGGCGGUGUUUGGCACCUCGAUGUCGGCUCAUCACAUCCUGGGGCUGAAGUAGGUCCCAAGGGUAUGGCUGUUCGCCAUUUAAAGUGGUACGCGAGCUGGGUUUAGAACGUCGUGAGACAGUUCGGUCCCUAUCUGCCGUGGGCGCUGGAGAACUGAGGGGGGCUGCUCCUAGUACGAGAGGACCGGAGUGGACGCAUCACUGGUGUUCGGGUUGUCAUGCCAAUGGCACUGCCCGGUAGCUAAAUGCGGAAGAGAUAAGUGCUGAAAGCAUCUAAGCACGAAACUUGCCCCGAGAUGAGUUCUCCCUGACCCUUUAAGGGUCCUGAAGGAACGUUGAAGACGACGACGUUGAUAGGCCGGGUGUGUAAGCGCAGCGAUGCGUUGAGCUAACCGGUACUAAUGAACCGUGAGGCUUAACCUUACAACGCCGAAGGUGUUU
rnacentral:rRNA from 1 species